rnacentral:sRNA from 1 species
ACCCCGCUUCGCCCUCCCCUCCUCCCCCGGCCCCUAUCCCUCUAACCCCCGGACCACGCGCCUCCCGCCUCCAACAAGUCUUCUCCGAAGCCCUCUUGCGCACCCUCCGGGCCAAUUCCUACGCGAACUUCUCCGCCUGCUUUCCCACGCCGGCCAAACAUGUCCCGCACAGCCUCGAGUCGCUAUGGAGGCAGUUAAAUGCGAAGCUGGAACAGAGCGCGCGCGCGGAGUUUGAGGACGUGCUAAGAGAGAGGGAGGUGGUUAGGGGCCUGAAUGAGUUGGAUCGGUUGGUUGGGGAGGCGAGGUUGAGGCGGGAGAAUGGGGAGGGGGAGGCGAGUGUGCCUCCUCACACUCUCGGCGCGAACGAGCUUUACAGAGCGCACCUUGAGCCGUAUCUCGCAGAAGCGCAGUCGUCGCUAAAUACGAAGUUGGAAAGGGUGCAAAAGGAGAAUGUCGAGCUUUCUGAGAAAAUCGAGUCUCAGAGACGGGAGAUUGAGCGAUUAUUGUCUGGCCUUGAAGCAGUCAUUAGCGACGUGGAGGGCGCAGCAACCGCUACGGAAGAGUUUGAUGCAAACCAGGGUCUCCGUAAAGAGGCGCAGGAAAUGGACAAUGAAAUCAGAGCAGCUCAAUACUCAUGAUAUUAUGCAGAUGUUUUACGUUCGACGUUUACGAGCUGAACAUGGAUGAUGUGGCAGAGAGUUGUAUCUCUUGUGUGAGGAUAACCAACAAUUCGGGUCUUAAAAAAUUUACAGGAUAUAUCACUGGAUUUCAGAACACGAUCUCAUCCGGGACAGCUUUCUGGAAAGCCCAUUCCAUGUCCUCAGCCGAAACCAACCCGUCGUCAACCAUAUCCUCCGCUAUCUGCCUCAAUUCCUUUUCCGAGCUUGCUAUCAAUCCUUCCAUUUUCUGCAUGUCAUCUGAGAAGGCAAAGGCCAGUGCUUCUUUCGCUGCCCCUUCUCGAUCCUGUUCGUCUAAUCCGUCCCUUCUGGCAAGAGCAGCCGCUCCGCGAUAGUAUGUCUGUGCGUUUUUCAGGAGGGUGGCGGCAUUUGCGUUGGAUACUUGAUAGUUCCAAGGCUGCCGACCCAAGCGCCAACGAUACAUCUCCACGUCCCCUCUCGCAAGGUGGACCUUGGGUAAAUUUUGAGCUUCAGGAAGUUUCGUCGCCGCGGUAAGCGAAUCCAGGGCUGACGAUAGCGCUUGCCAUCGUAGCGUUAACAGCCUAUUGAACGUGUCCUCGUUGUAUGGCUGGUCGCAAUCUGCCAUGGCAGAGUUGAAUGCCACUAGCGAUUCUGCUUGGCUACAAAGCGCCCCCGGAUUCGCAGACAAAUCCUUCACAUCUCCGAACGCUGCGCUCAGCUCGUUCUUAUAUGUGUCAAAAUCAAUCCUCCCGCUCCGAAACGAGACUUCCGCCAGCAUUGAAAUGAACUUGGCACGGGCGAGCGCUACCUCGUUCUGCCUCUCUGUCCCCUCUACAUAUACCGCAAUUUUCUCCCUUACCAGGUCUGCAGAAUACUCUUCUAUCCAUGCAAGAGUGCUCCCAGGAUCGAGCGUAAGUAACCCGCAAAACGUAGCCAAUGUCUCCAAUUGCGCUACAGCGGUGUCAACAAGUGUAUCUUUGGUCACUGGCUCGAUGACAGUGGCCCACUGCUCCGACCGUGUGGGCUCCGUCGUCCCGCUUCCACCUCCAGUUUCAGACCCCUCCAUCGGCUGAUCUGGUAUCGAAUUGGGUUUUUGCUCGUCGCGAUCAACGACACAGGCCUCCGCCAUGGCCACAUUCUCAGCUUGCUGAUGUUGUUCUUCCGUAAACCGCAAUUCCUGCACGCCUAGGCACCGCUGGAAGAGGUCCAACGCUUCCUGCAAAUAUCUGCGGGCUUCAUGUGUAUGUUGCUCGGUAGCCCGUUUUCCCUCCGUGAUCGCCUCUGCUAAACUCGUCAAUACCUGUGCGGUGUUGAAGAGGAUUUCCGCAUUAUCUUGCUGGAGGGUUAAGGCGUGUCUGUGGGAUUUGAGGGCGAUGUGGAGGAUUUCGACGGCCGGGCCGGGGAGUUGGGUUGCUAGUUUUGGAUGUUGGGUUAUUUCGUAUUGUAUUCGCGCCCUGCGUAAUGUGAAUAAAUUAUGAAGGAGAGAAAUGGAAAUGGCCAGGAAGCAGGUUUAAUUUAAUCUAAUUCCUUCGAUGGCGAGGAAAAAAAAAAAAAAAAAAAAAACAAGGGGGGCGUAGUAGCCUUUGCAAAUGACACUUGGUACGUACUUAUUGUAUGCCAAAUCAAACGAAUUCGGAAACCUCCUUAGACCUGUAUCAUACAUUUCAAUAGCGCGCAUGAAAAACCGCAUGGACUUGACGGCGUCUCCUGCUCGCCAUUUUUCUCCAGCUUCUUCUAACUCGACGCCGGCUGGGACGGGUGGAAAUAAAUGGAUGGGUUGGGGUCGUUGGUUAGUUUCCAUGCUGGAUACAGCUCGUUAUGGCUUGCGCGGAGGGAUAGCAAUUGCCAAUGGCAAUGGGCAAAUGGGCCAGCCAUGUCUAUGUGUAUAUCUGUGCUUACCGGCAAGGUAUUCAUCCGCACUUUCAGGUUC